rnacentral:rRNA from 1 species
GAUUAACGCUGGCGGCGUGCCUAACACAUGCAAGUCGAGCGAUGAAACUUUAAUGACCCCUUCGGGGAGAAUUAAAGCGGAUUAGUGGCGAACGGGUGAGUAACGCGUGAGUAACCUGCCUUACACACGGGGAUAGCCUUUGGAAACGAAGAAUAAUACCCUAUAAAACCAUAAAAGCACAUGCAAUUAUGGUCAAAGUGAUAGCGGUGUAAGAUGGACUUGCGUCUGAUUAGCUAGUUGGUGAGAUAAAAGCCCACCAAGGCAACGAUCAGUAGCCGGCUUGAGGGCGUGUACGGCCACAUUGGGACUGGGACACGGCCCAGACUCCUACGGGAGGCAGCAGUGGGGAAGGUUGCACAAUGGGGGAAACCCUGAUGCAGCGACGCCGCGUGAUUUAGAAGGCCUGCGGGUUGUAAAAAGCUUUUGUAUAGGAAGAAAAUGACAGUACUAUACGAAUAAGGUCCGGCUAAUUACGUG